UUCAAUGAUGGUGUAAUUUGCGUCUUACGUGGUACUAAGCGACAGUUGCCUGCUGUCAAAAUGCUAAUACUAUGGGAUGACGAUUCUUUGAGACUGAGAG